ensembl:lincRNA Lppos LIM domain containing preferred translocation partner in lipoma, opposite strand
CUCCCCCGCCGCUAACGCUACUUAUCCCGGGAAAGCUCGAGCGGGCCCCGGGAGCGAACCCACAGACAAAAAGUGAAACUUCGGCAGCAGGCCGGGAGUGGCUGCUGACGACAGAUUGGAAAGCUGAGCUUGAGCAAAGAGAUCCUGCCAUGGAACACCCCACCCCCCACCCUAAGAGCCUCGUCGGAGCCCCGCCCAGGACUCCAGCAGGACUCAGAAGUCCGGGAUGGUAGAGAGCAACUUCAGUUCCCUUCGCACAGGAGAGCUCCGAAGCUGGGACCUGACCCAGUCCUGCCCCGUGGAGAGGAGCCAGUAUUCUACUCUUAGCUGGGUUUCCGCCUCCAGGCACGACCCGGCCUCUAACUGUGAGCUUAGACCCAAGUUAGAGCUAGGCAGAUGACUUGACCCACUGAAGUGACUAACCCCAGUUCCUGGAAGGUUGUGGUUGACAAGCCUUGAGAAACAAUGGCAAUCGAGUGCUUCAGGGCAACUUCCUGUCCUUUGUUCAAAGACAAGAACCUUUGGAGUUUAACUUUUGCUUCCCAACCCUGCCCUGCCGGAAAACCAACCAGAAAGCUUGCUCUGUUCUUACAGCUUAAAAAAAGAAAAUACACGAACUGGGUGAACUGGUUUGAAUAAAGACAAGCCUGUUCUUGGAAGGUUGGGUUUGGAUAUUUUGUGUUUGAUAUUUGUAAAAGUGAGCAACGAUGAGAACCCCUUUUACUAGGUUAAGAUUCCGGCUAGGAGACACUGGAAGCCCUCUGGCCCUCAGUAGUGAACGCUUUUCAUCCCGGCACAAGAGAGGUUUACAUUAGACACUGUCACAAACUAACCAAAAACACAGAUUUGGGUGUGGGUGUGUGGGUGGGGGUGUGUGUGUUUCUAUCCUGUAUCCUUUGCUUUACCCCAGUCUCCCAAACAACUUCAACCCAUGCUAAUAACACAACCACCCAUUCUGGUCUUUGAGUGGGUUGGGUAGGAUCUAAGGAAAAUACCAUAACAUGACCUGCACAACACAACUGUCUGAGCAUGCCCCUGACCUUCCCACUCUCAAGCCACCUUCCACCACCGUGGGCCCUCACCUUCUACAGCCUAACUCAGUCAUGCAGACAGAAAAAGUACACCAGGGACUUCAGGGGUGGGGACGCUCCAACGUGCCUCUUCUCCGGUUAUAUUUUGAUGAACCUUUCGGACUAAGUGUCAAAGUACGUACUCCUGUACUUAACAUGUAUUGAACAUUUCUCCGGCAGUCUUCAAAAUUCAAACACUUCUGGGGCCAAACUGCUUAACCCCUUUGCCCUCCCAAGUUUUCCAGCUACACACACUCAAAAGUAGGAGUACAGCAGGAGAGAACACGAGUACCUGUGCGUUCCACGGGAAACAGGCUCCCAGGGGUCCGGCUUUUUAAGAGAUCACAGUGUAUUCACUCUACCCUAAGCAUUUCAGCCAAUGGGUGCCCUGUGUGCUACUGCAAUGGAAGUCAUCCAUUGCUCAUUUAGGUAUAACGGAACUUGACCAGCAUCCCUUGCUUGCUUUACUCCCUUCUCAGUAACCCACUUAUAAAGAAUAAUAGAGUUCUAAUGAGGAUUAAUAAAAUUUAAUAAGG